rnacentral:rRNA from 1 species
ACCUACGGCCAUACCACCCUGAGUGUGCCGGAUCUUGUCUGAUCUUGGAAGCUAAGCAGGGCAGGGCCUGGUUAGUACUUGAAUGGGAGACCACCUAGGAAUACUGGGUGCUGUAGGCU